GGAGGUAUAGCUCAGUUUGUAGAGUGCUUGCUUUGCAUGCACAAGGCCCUGGGUUUAAUCCCCAGCACCAUUA
rnacentral:tRNA from 1 species